rnacentral:rRNA from 1 species
AGGAUAAACGUUGGCGGCGUGCCUAACGCAUGCAAGUCGCACGGGGGCUUCGGCCCUAGUGGCGGACGGGUGAGUAACACGUAGGGACCUGCCCGGAAGUGGGGGACAACUUCCCGAAAGGGAAGCUAAUACCGCAUACGGUCUACGGACCAAAGCAGCAAUGCGCUUCUGGAGGGUCCUGCGGUGGAUUAGCUUGUUGGUGGGGUAACGGCCUACCAAGGCGACGAUCCAUAGCUGGUCUGAGAGGAUGAUCAGCCACACUGGGACUGAGACACGGCCCAGACUCCUACGGGAGGCAGCAGCGAGGAAUUUUGCACAAUCGACGCAAGUCGGAUGCAGCAACGCCGCGUGGGGGAAGAAGGCUUUCGAGUUGUAAACCCCUUUGUGAGGAAGAAGAAUCUGACGGUACCUCAACGAAUAAAGUCACGGCUAACUACGGGCCAGCAGCCGC